UACGAAGGGGGCUAGCGUUAUCCGGAAUUAUUGGGCGUAAAGAGCUCGUAGGCGGUUUGUCGCGUCUGCCGUGAAAGUCCGGGGCUCAACUCCGGAUCUGCGGUGGGUACGGGCAGACUAGAGUGAUGUAGGGGAGACUGGAAUUCCUGGUGUAGCGGUGAAAUGCGCAGAUAUCAGGAGGAACACCGAUGGCGAAGGCAGGUCUCUGGGCAUUAACUGACGCUGAGGAGCGAAAGCAUGGGGGAGCGAACAGG
rnacentral:rRNA from 1 species